rnacentral:lncRNA from 1 species
GUCUCAUCUCCCUCGACUUCUCCAUGGACUGUGGGAGUAGCUGAAGUGGCUGUGGGGACGGAGGGAGCAGACUGAAUAGAAACCGUUCCUCAUGUGCCUGAGAAGCUUUUGGGCCUCCUCUUCAGCAGGCCCUGCCUCCUGCCCAGGGCCCUUUCUAACAUUUUUCCCACUUACUCAGCCACUUAGGUCUGCUAUAUAGUCCAUACUGCUCUUGGUGACCAGAGAUAAAUAAGCAUGAGAACGUCUUUCCUGGAAGCUGCUGUGUGACACAGCAGGUGAAAGAUCUGACAUCGCCACAGGUGUGGCACCUGCAGCUCCGGUUCCAUCCCUGGCCCAGGAACGUCCACAUGCUGUGGACGUGGCCAAAGGAAAGAAGGCCUUUCCUUCGCCUCGGGGAAAUCAACCACAUGAGUUACGUGAGGCAGCCCGAGGUAACCAGAUCCACGUCUACGAAGAGGAGAAAUAGAACCUACCGUGGCGGGUUGUUAAGAAGAUUCGCUAAGUUCAUUCAUUUGAAAAACUCAUCACAGAGCUUGACAAACAGGCCUAACCAUUGGCUGCGAUUAUGUUAUCAUCACAGGGAGCAAGAACCUUGGCCGCCGUCUCGGUUUCCCGAAUACUUACUGGUCUCUAGUUUUAUGUGA